rnacentral:rRNA from 1 species
CUUAACACAUGCAAGUCGAGGGGUAACAGGGAAGCUUGCUUCCGCUGACGACCGGCGCACGGGUGAGUAACGCGUAUGCAAUCUACCUUUAACUGAGAGAUAGCCCAGAGAAAUUUGGAUUAAUACCUCAUAACAUUAUUGAAUGGCAUCAUUUAAUAAUUAAAACUUCGGUGGUUAAAGAUGAGCAUGCGUCCUAUUAGCUUGUUGGUAAGGUAACGGCUUACCAAGGCAACGAUAGGUAGGGGGCCUGAAAGGGUGAUCCCCCACACUGGUACUGAGACACGGACCAGACUCCUACGGGAGGCAGCAGUGAGGGAUAUUGCGCAAUGGAGGAAACUCUGACGCAGCCAUGCCGCGUGCAGGAUGACGGCCCUACGGGUUGUAAACUGCUUUUAUAUAGGAAGAAACCCCGAUACGUGUAUCGGCUUGACGGUACUAUAUGAAUAAGGACCGGCUAACUCCGUGCCAGCAGCCGCGGUAAUACGGAGGGUCCAAGCGUUAUCCGGAUUUAUUAGGUUUAAAGGGUCCGCAGGCGGAACUUUAAGUCAGUGGUGAAAGCCUACAGCUCAACUGUAGAACUGCCAUUGAAACUGAAGUUCUUGAGUGUGGUUGAAGUGGGCGGAAU